rnacentral:piRNA from 1 species
UAAUUGCAAAACACCUGCAAUGUGCCA